UGGGGAAUAUUGCACAAUGGGGGAAACCCUGAUGCAGCGACGCCGCGUGAGCGAAGAAGGCUUUCGAGUCGUAAAGCUCUGUCCUAUGAGAAGAUAAUGACGGUAUCAUAGGAGGAAGCCCUGGCUAAAUACGUGCCAGCAGCCGCGGUAAUACGUAUGGGGCGAGCGUUGUCCGGAAUUAUUGGGCGUAAAGGGUACGUAGGCGGAAAUGCAAGUCAGUUGUGAAAGGCAGAGGCUCAACCUCUGUAAGCAAUUGAAACUGUAUUUCUUGAGAUGUGGAGAGGCAAGUGGAAUUCCUAGUGUAGCGGUGAAAUGCGUAGAUAUUAGGAAGAAUACCGGUGGCGAAGGCGACUUGCUGGACACAAACUGACGCUGAGGAACGAAAGCGUGGGUAGCAAACAGG
rnacentral:rRNA from 1 species